rnacentral:lncRNA from 1 species
AAUGCUUCUAUACUUUUUUUUUUUUUGUUACCGUUUAUUCACGCGUAUUCAACGGCUCAGAUUUAAUUUUUUUUAUAUUGUGACCUGCAAUAGCAGGUCACUUUGGGAGAGGUAUCGGUUACUAGGUAUCUCAAAAAAUGAUAUUUUUGUCUUUUAAUACAUGGGCAAUUUAGUCAUUUUACAUCUACUAUAUUUUCAAAAAUUUUAUUUUUUCUUUGUUUCCUUUUUCUCUCUCUAUCUUUCCUUUCAUAAUUUGGCAUUUCAUGUAAGGAAAAUUUCAAAUGAUUUGACAAUAUGAUCAUUUAAUUUAAACUUUAAAUAAUAAUAUGAAAUUCCUCUAAUUUAAAUUUCACUUUUAAAUUUAAAAUUUAAUAUUAUAUUCAAAUUUAUAUUUUAAAAAUUUAAGUUUUAUAUAAAUACUUUGAAAUAUGGUAAAUAGAAAUAAUUGUUUGAAUUCUAGUCUUCUGGUUUAGGUUUGGUUUUGGGUUUCGAAAAAUUGGUCAGUUUUGAAUUUGGAUAUGGAUUUUUGAAAUCCGUCGAGUUCGGAAAUAAGUUUUGUGAUUGUUAGUCAGAUUCGAAUUCAAAUUCCUAACUAUUUUUUUUCUCA